GCUGGCUUAGUUCAGUAGGUAGAGCUACUGACUUGUAAUCAGUAGGUCACCUGUUCGAUUCCCGUAGCAAGUACCA
rnacentral:tRNA from 1 species